rnacentral:tRNA from 2 species
GGGCGGUUAGCUCAGUUGGUUAGAGUACUUGCUUGACAUGCAAGAGGUCACAGGUUCGAUUCCCGUACCGCCCACCA